CUUUCAAUUUAUUUAUAAAGUAAAUUAUCAAAGUGAGGGGGAAAAGCUGUCUAUGGUCAAUAAUGUUAACAUUUAAAUGAGUCACAGGGGCUUUGGCGUUCACAACUCAUGCCUUUACUGUUGCUAUUGUUUGGCUGGAGACAACUUCUUCAAAGAUGAGUUAAUAGGACAUCAUGGCACUGGUUACAAUUGGACGACUCUUCUUUUGAAACAAACUCCUCUGAAGUUUCCUCUCUCAUGGAGUCUCCUUUCUAAAAUACAUCCUGUCAGACAGAAGGGCCAUAAUGAAUCGUAACAGCAUUGAUUCAAGCUAACUUCCUGGCUGCGAGUCUGUGGGACUUCAAACCAGACCAGAGUUCCUUAGGCACACCGUUUGUUUUAAUUUCUCAUUAGCGCCCUGCUAUAGACUAAGGUGCAUUUUAGACUAUGCAUUUGUAACAGUUUCCAAGAAAUAAUUGCAUGAUAUAAAGAAAAAGUCUAUCAGAUGGACCAUAUCUUCAUAUAUAUGUGUACUGACUCCUAAGAGUAGGACCUCCAUUCUGUUUGGGACCUCUGGACACAACUGCAAUAACUGAUUUGAAGAGGAUGCCCAGAAUGGAUGCUAUAGGACAGUCAACACCAGUGAAGCUCACGACUUAGUUGAAAACAACUGACUGUCAAUGCUGAGCACAGUUCCAGAACCGGGGAACAAAGGGACGUGCAUGGAGUAUUGUCUGUUCUACUUUCUUUCAAGCUGGCUGAGAUCUCAUUUUCUACAUCCCAAGAGUAUGUCUAAGGAUGAAAUGGUCCUCGUAUCUGACAAACAAAUGCCCCAGUGUAAUGUAUUUGAAUACACAGAUACUUAAUUGUAGAAAUGUGACAAAUUAAACUGUAUAUUUUUAUGUGUCCUUAUAGUGCUUUAGCUUUCCUUGGAAAGAACUGAAAUCUAUUUAAUGCAUUUUGCUUAAAAACCCAUUUCCCUUGGCAAUCAAGGUGUUACCACGAUAUGAAUAAUACAUCAAAUAUGGCAGAGGUCAUUAUUUCCUGCAGGGAUAUUGGCUGAAUUUCCAGAG